rnacentral:rRNA from 1 species
UGAACGCUAGCGGCAGGCCUAACACAUGCAAGUCGAGGGGUAACAGGUUUAGUUUACUAAAUGCUGACGACCGGCGCACGGGUGCGUAACGCGUAUGCAACCUACCUAUAACAAGGGGAUAGCUUAGAGAAAUUUGAAUUAAUACCCUAUGAUGUAAUUGACUGGCAUCGGUUGAUUAUUAAAGAUUUGUUUUGGUUAUAGAUGGGCAUGCGUAGCAUUAGCUAGAUGGUGAGGUAACGGCUUACCACGGCGACGAUGCUUAGGGGUUCUGAGAGGAAGGUCCCCCACACUGGUACUGAGACACGGACCAGACUCCUACGGGAGGCAGCAGUGAGGAAUAUUGGUCAAUGGACGGAAGUCUGAACCAGCCAUGCCGCGUGCAGGAAGACGGCCCUAUGGGUUGUAAACUGCUUUUAUAUAGGAAGAAAUGUUGUCUUGCGAGAUGAUUUGACGGUACUAUAUGAAUAAGCACCGGCUAACUCCGUGCCAGCAGCCGCGGUAAU